GACGAACGCUGGCGGCGUGCCUAAUACAUGCAAGUUGAGCGAUGAAGACUGGUGCUUUGGCCAAUUCGGAGAACAGCGGAAGGGGGAGUCAAGUGUGGGGGAACUGCCUUUGCGCGGGGGGCAACAAUUGGGAACAAAUUCUAAUACCCAAAAACAACUUUAAAAAUAAGUUUUAAGCUUUAAAUUAGCAAAUUGCUCACUUAAAAGCUAUCCCCGGUUGUAUUAGCUAGUUGGUGAGGGAAAGGCCCACCAAGGCGAUGAUACAUAGCCGACCUGAGAGGGUGAUAGGCCACAUUGGGACGGGGACACGGCCCAAACCCCUACGGGAGGGAGCAGUAGGGGAUCUUCGGCAAUGGAAGAAAGUCUGACCGAGCAACGCCGCGUGAGUGAAGAAGGUUUUCGGAUCGUAAAACUCUGUUGGUAGAGAAGAACGUUAGGGAGAGUGGAAAGCUCAUCAAGUGACGGUAACUACCCAGAAAGGGACGGCUAACUACGUG
rnacentral:rRNA from 1 species